rnacentral:rRNA from 1 species
UUAGAGUUUGGGAACCUGCUCAGAUUGAACGCUGGCGGCAGGCCUAACACAUGCAAGUCGAACGGUAGCACAGAGAGCUUGCUCUCGGGUGACGAGUGGCGGACGGGUGAGUAAUGUCUGGGAAACUGCCUGAUGGAGGGGGAUAACUACUGGAAACGGUAGCUAAUACCGCAUAACGUCGCAAGACCAAAGAGGGGGACCUUCGGGCCUCUUGCCAUCAGAUGUGCCCAGAUGGGAUUAGCUAGUAGGUGGGGUAACGGCUCACCUAGGCGACGAUCCCUAGCUGGUCUGAGAGGAUGACCAGCCACACUGGAACUGAGACACGGUCCAGACUCCUACGGGAGGCAGCAGUGGGGAAUAUUGCACAAUGGGCGCAAGCCUGAUGCAGCCAUGCCGCGUGUAUGAAGAAGGCCUUCGGGUUGUAAAGUACUUUCAGCGGGGAGGAAGGUGUUGUGGUUAAUAACCACAGCAAUUGACGUUACCCGCAGAAGAAGCACCGGCUAACUCCGUGCCAGCAGCCGCGGUAAUACGGAGGGUGCAAGCGUUAAUCGGAAUUACUGGGCGUAAAGCGCACGCAGGCGGUCUGUCAAGUCGGAUGUGAAAUCCCCGGGCUCAACCUGGGAACUGCAUUCGAAACUGGCAGGCUAGAGUCUUGUAGAGGGGGGUAGAAUUCCAGGUGUAGCGGUGAAAUGCGUAGAGAUCUGGAGGAAUACCGGUGGCGAAGGCGGCCCCCUGGACAAAGACUGACGCUCAGGUGCGAAAGCGUGGGGAGCAAACAGGAUUAGAUACCCUGGUAGUCCACGCCUUAGUGACGAUGUCGAUUUGGAGGUUGUGCCCUUGAGGCGUGGCUUCCGGAGCUAACGCGUUAAAUCGACCGCCUGGGGAGUACGGCCGCAUUGGGUUAAAACUCAAAUGAAUUGACGGGGGCCCGCACAAGCGGUGGAGCAUGUGGUUUAAUUCGAUGCAACGCGAAGAACCUUACCUGGUCUUGACAUCCACAGAACUUAGCAGAGAUGCUUUGGUGCCUUCGGGAACUGUGAGACAGGUGCUGCAUGGCUGUCGUCAGCUCGUGUUGUGAAAUGUUGGGUUAAGUCCCGCAACGAGCGCAACCCUUAUCCUUUGUUGCCAGCGGUUAGGCCGGGAACUCAAAGGAGACUGCCAGUGAUAAACUGGAGGAAGGUGGGGAUGACGUCAAGUCAUCAUGGCCCUUACGACCAGGGCUACACACGUGCUACAAUGGCGCAUACAAAGAGAAGCGACCUCGCGAGAGCAAGCGGACCUCAUAAAGUGCGUCGUAGUCCGGAUUGGAGUCUGCAACUCGACUCCAUGAAGUCGGAAUCGCUAGUAAUCGUAGAUCAGAAUGCUACGGUGAAUACGUUCCCGGGCCUUGUACACACCGCCCGUCACACCAUGGGAGUGGGUUGCAAAAGAAGUAGGUAGCUUAACCUUCGGGAGGGCGCUUACCACUUUGUGAUUCAUGACUGGGGUGAAGUCGUA